GUCACCUGAUAUGUGGCGUGGUUAUGUAAGACACCGAAACAUCGCGAUACUUCUGUUUUUAAAGGCCUUCAGGCAUCUGCCGAUUUUAACAUAAUUAGUGUUAAUAGGUUUUCUGUUCAGUUCUCAAGCUGUGCUUAGUGUUAGCUUGGAAAGGAGUUAUCAAACUUGUAGUUUUGAAGUUUGCGGUUUUGGGACACCAGUAAAACCUGCUCCGAUGUUGAGAUUAUAAUUUGUGCAUGCGUAACCCCAGCUUCUUCUCCGGUUUAUUUUUGCGUCAUCGGAACUUUACGUGAAUUAAAGUUCCUGCCUGCGUUGUACCCAGGAUGUUGUGAAAGAAGGAAAAAAGCCAUAAGAAUAAAUCUUUCAACAUCACCUGAAAGAACGAAGCUGUGGUUAAUAGCCGCCAAAAUGGACAUAAACAUUAUGUGGAGCCCGUUCCCACGGAGAUGUGCUGAGAAGCUCCAUGCCAUCACCGAGCAAACAGCACCUGAGGAGCGGGACUGCAAAGGUGAAUUCAAAGAGUGCUGUUGGGAUGAUGCAUUUUAGGCCAACCCGGAAGUUGGCUACAAACUGUGAAACCACCAGAGCAGAUGGCAUCGAUCUGAACGUGCAUUAUUUCAUAAUCACAUUGAACAGGAGCACCGGCGUCUGACACCACAUUCUCUGCCAUGUUGGAAUCUCCUCAUCACACACAUAUGGGUAAUUGGGGAGAAUAAAUUCACACAUGCUUGAAAGAAAACGGCUGCAGUGAUAAUGAGAUCUGCUCCAUAUUCAUUUCAGGAUCAUUUGAUUGUUUAUUCCCAUUUGUCAGAGAUGGUGGCUCUGUUCUUUGUGUGUGAAGAGUCGUUCCAUUACCUGUAUAUUAGAUUUGGACCAGCCUGCUAUAAAUAGAAGCCACUUACCACAGACUCAGGCUGCAGGCGAGGCAGAUGCAAAGCGAAUGCAGCCAUGUGGACACUGAUGUUGGCAGAGUGUAUACAUCUGUAAAUUUCAUUAGACAAAGUGAUACAAACUGGUUAAGGACUUGCUGCAAUCGGGAGAGACUACAUACUUUAACACUGUACCAAUGUGGUGCCGUUUGAAAAAGCUGUGAUGCUAAUUGUGAUUAGCAUGUUUUGAAGCUGUUAAUGUUGCUGUAUAAGGAUAGUAUGCUGUAUGGAUUUCUGAAUGGGCCUACCAGGUACAGGCUCAGUUGCUCAAGGGUUCAGGGGACUUGCAGGUUGAGGUCACCACAAUGCAAGCUACAACUCAGGCCUGUGUU